AGAGUACUAAUAGAUAGAUACUGAGGGGUUUUUGUGGAUUAGUGUGGCAGAUGGAUAUGAUUGAUUUAUAUUGAAUUUAUUAGCUGCAUGUAACUCUUGUGGAAUACAUCAGUAUUUGCAUUUUGUAUUAAAAUAAAUGCAAAUAUUCUUGUAGGAAGGGUUAUGAAAAUUUUCUUUCCCUUUCUACAAUAGGUCUCUGCAUAUAUUUUGAAUAUGGCAUUAUUAUAAUCAUUGCAGAAGUCCAAAUAUGCAUUCUCAAGUGAGUUGGUUGGAGAUGAUUUUUAUUUCGAGGUUUUGUAUAAUCACUGAUUUAUUUAUCAGUUGAUUUUGGCAUAUUUUUGUAACUGACUAUGGAAACAUUGACAGAUUUUAUAAUAAUAAUGUCAUGGUAUUACUGUUUUUUUCUCCUUCAAUCUUAUUAAGGUUAAUCUUUACAGAUAUAUAUGGCUAUCACAGCAUUUUUCUCUAAAUGACUAAACACCAUAUUAUCUAGUGUGGGUAAUCCAACUAAUUUUGCAGGUUAUUAUCUUUAUAGUUGGUUUUAAUUCGAUUCUUACAGCUUCUCUAUUUGCAUUUGAGAAAUUUUAAACUUGGUCGAUCAGAGUACGAGCGUUGGAUACCUACUCUUGCUUGUAAACUGAGGAUUUACAAUUUAAAUGGAACAAUGAUAUUUAAUUAUUAUUCUAAGGAAAUAUUAAGGUAUAUAUGUGUUUCAAUCAUUGUGCACCUGGAAUAAAUUGCACUUCUUAACUUUAAGACCAUCCAGUUUCAUAAAUUAUAUAGUCAUACAUUCUACUUAAAGAUUUAAUAGGGCAUCUUGAGACGAAUAUUAGAGAGUUUGAAUGGAUAUUUAUGUUAUGGUAGAACCCAUUUCCUCAAAUGUAUGAUUUUGAAGUAUUAAUCAUGCACAAUUCAUUAGGUUUUGUAUGCAUGCAUUAUUGUGGUCAGCUCGAAAGAGACACGUAUUAAGGCGGCUUAAAUAUUGAAGGUAUGCAUGUAUUAAUUUUUUAUGGUUCGGCCCUUUUGCCAAGCAAAGGAUUGAAGUUUUAUUAGUUUUGGUGGUAACGAGGAAACUUUGAGUGAAACCGUCAUCACUAAGCAUACUAUUUUGAGGUUGAGUGAGUAAAAGAUUGAGAUUUGUGAGUUUGAAUUGUUUUUUGUUAGAAUUUUAAGUGUGGUUUGUUUGAGUAAAUGACUUAAUUUUGAAUAUUUUGCCUAUUUCUCU
rnacentral:lncRNA from 1 species